GACGAACGCUGGCGGCGUGCCUAAUACAUGCAAGUUGGACGCAGUUCCUAACGGGUGAUUAACGCGUAGGUAACUACCUAUUAGAGGGGGAUAACUAUUGGAAACGAUACCUAAUACCGCAUACUAGUAGAUCGACCUGUGUUGUAUUAGCUAGUAGGUAGGGUAAUGGCCUACCUAGGCCACGAUACAUAGCCGAGCUGAGAGGGUGAUCGGCCAGAAUGGGACUGGGAAACGGCCAAGAAUCCUACGGGAGGCAGCAGAAGGGAAACUUCGGCAAUGGGGGGAACGCGGACCGAGCAAAGGAGCGGGAGAGAAGAAGGUUUUCGGAGCGUAAAGCUCUGUUGUUAAGGAAGAGGUAGUUAAAGAGAAAGGGACGGCUAACUACGUGCCAGCAGACGCGGUAAGAG
rnacentral:rRNA from 1 species